GGGCGGAUCCGGGUUUAGGGUGUUCCCGGUUUAGGACAAUCCAGGUUUAAGGUUAUUCCUGCUGGGAAUAGGGCGUAUCCUGCUGCCUGAGUUCCCCUUGAGUUCUCACGGGAUUCAGACAGUAUUUUUUGGGAGACAGAAGCCCAGUGGGGGUGGAUUUGGGCAGAGAACGUGGAUUUCCCCAGAACGUGAUUGUAGACGGCUGGUGUGAGUUCGGGAAUAAAGAGUUGCUGUUUGAAUCUACAA